rfam:Myotis brandtii contig302767, whole genome shotgun sequence.
GGCUGUUCUCCUGUGACACAUCCUGGAAUCAGGCUCCCUCCUCUCUGGUUCUGGGUGCAUCACCCAAGAACCUCA